GUGGGGAAUAUUGGACAAUGGGCGAAAGCCUGAUCCAGCAAUGCCGCGUGAGUGAUGAAGGCCCUAGGGUUGUAAAGCUCUUUUACCAGGGAUGAUAAUGACAGUACCUGGAGAAUAAGCUCCGGCUAACUCCGUGCCAGCAGCCGCGGUAAUACGGAGGGAGCUAGCGUUGUUCGGAAUUACUGGGCGUAAAGCGCGCGUAGGCGGUUUUUUAAGUCAGAGGUGAAAGCCCGGGGCUCAACCCCGGAAUUGCCUUUGAAACUGGAAAACUUGAAUCUUGGGGAGGUCAGUGGAAUUCCGAGUGUAGAGGUGAAAUUCGUAGAUAUUCGGAAGAACACCAGUGGCGAAGGCGACUGACUGGACAAGUAUUGACGCUGAGGUGCGAAAGCGUGGGGAGCAAACAGGAUUAGAAACCCUAGUAGUCC
rnacentral:rRNA from 1 species